UGCAUGUCGAGCGGAGUUGCCUUCGGGUAACUUAGCGGCGAAUGGGUGAGUAACACGUACUUAACGUGCCCUCUAGAUUGGAAUAACGAUUAGAAAUGAUCGCUAAUGCCGGAUACUUAUUAGUUUCGCAUGAAAUUAAUAUAAAAGGAGCGUUUGCUUCACUAGAGGAUCGGGGUGCGUAACAUUAGCUAGUUGGUAAGGUAAUGGCUUACCAAGGCGAUGAUGUUUAGCGGGGUUGAGAGACUGAUCCGCCACACUGGGACUGAGAUACGGCCCAGACUCCUACGGGAGGCAGCAGUAGGGAAUUUUCCACAAUGGACGAAAGUCUGAUGGAGCGACACAGCGUGCAGGAAGACGGCCUUCGGGUUGUAAACUGCUGUUAUAAGGGAAGAAAAAACCAUAUAGGAAAUGAUAUGGUCUUGACGGUACCUUGUCAGAAAGCAACGGCUAACUAUGUGCCAGCAGCCGCGGUAAUACAUAGGUUGCAAGCGUUAUCCGGAAUUAUUGGGCGUAAAGCGUCUGUAGGUUGUGUGUUAAGUCUGACGUCAAAACUUGGGGCUCAACCCCAAAUCGCGUUGGAUACUGGCACGCUAGAAUUGUGUAGAGGUUAGCGGAAUUCCUAGUGAAGCGGUGAAAUGCGUAGAUAUUAGGAAGAACAUCAACAUGGCGAAGGCAGCUAACUGGGCACAUAUUGACACUGAGAGACGAAAGCGUGGGGAGCAAACAGGAUUAGAUACCCUGGUAGUCCACGCCGUAAACGAUGAUGAUUAGCUGAUGGGAACCAUCGGCGCAGCUAACGCAUUAAAUCAUCCGCCUGAGUAGUAUGCUCGCAAGAGUGAAACUUAAAGGAAUUGACGGGGACCCGCACAAGCGGUGGAGCAUGUGGUUUAAUUUGAAGAUACGCGUAGAACCUUACCCACUCUUGACAUCUUCUGCAAAGCUAUAGAGAUAUAGUGGAGGUUAACAGAAUGACAGAUGGUGCAUGGUUGUCGUCAGCUCGUGUCGUGAGAUGUUCGGUUAAGUCCUGCAACGAGCGCAACCCCUAUCCUUAGUUAAAUGUUCUAGGGAGACUGCCCGAGUAAUCGGGAGGAAGGUGGGGACGACGUCAAAUCAUCAUGCCUCUUACGAGUGGGGCAACACACGUGCUACAAUGGAUGGUACAAAGAGAAGCAAUACGGCGACGUGGAGCAAAUCUCAAAAAACCAUUCUCAGUUCGGAUUGUAGUCUGCAACUCGACUACAUGAAGUCGGAAUCGCUAGUAAUCGUAGAUCAGCUACGCUACGGUGAAUACGUUCUCGGGUCUUGUACACACCGCCCGUCACACCAUGGGAGCUGGUAAUGCCCGAAGUCGGUUAUGUUAACUACGGAAACAACCGCCUAAGGC
rnacentral:rRNA from 1 species